rnacentral:rRNA from 1 species
AUGUCACCGAUCAUGGCGGCGCGCGGGCAGGGGCUGGGCCAGGGCCAGGGCCAUCAGGUGCAGCAAGAUUUCGACUUCUUCUUGGUGGUGGACUUCGAGGCGACAUGCGAGAAGGACGCGCGGAUCUACCCGCAAGAGAUCAUCGAGUUCCCGGCCGUGCUCGUCGACGGCGCCACCGGCCUCAUCGCAUCCGCGUUCCGCAGGUACGUUCGCCCCAGACACCGGCCUGUGCUGACCCAGUUUUGCAGGGACCUCACCGGCAUCCGGCAGGAGGACGUAGACGGCGGCGUGGAUCUCGGCGAGGCGCUCUGGCUACACGACGCUUGGCUGAAGGCGGCGACGGCGGGGGCGGGGAACAAGGGACGCGUCCGCUUGGCCGUCGUGACCUGGGGGGACUGGGAUUGCCGCACCAUGCUCGAAUUCGAGUGUCGAUUCAAGGGGAUCGAGAAGCCCUCCUACUUUGAUCGCUGGGUCAACCUGAGGGUCCCCUUCCAGGCGGCGCUCGGCGGCGGAGCGCGGGUCAACCUGCAGGAGGCGGUGCGGGCGGCGGGACUGGACUGGGAGGGCCGCUUGCACUGCGGACUCGACGACGCGCACAACACGGCGCGGCUGCUUGCUGAGAUCAUGCGGCGCGGGGUCAAGAUCACCAUCACCGGCUCGCUGGCGCCGCCGCCGCCGCUGCCGAUCCAGAAGCAGCCGCCUCGCUCAAGCCCUUGCGGUGGCUCAUCGGCGCCGGCGCCUCCGCUGAUCCAGCAGCAGCCGCCUCACACAUGGCCUUGCGGUGGCUCAUCGGCGCCACCGCUUUUGCCGGCGAUUCAGCAGCAGCAGCUGCCGCAGCGUCACAUAAGCCCCUGCGGUGGCUCCUCCGUGACGUGCUUGUGCUACUGCGGGGUGGCGACCAGAGGUGGCGUGGUGCCGGUGCAAGCCAACCGCUUCUUUGGGGGCGGCAACUGGACGCCGGCCAUGGUAUAG